AGAAUCAACGCUGGCGGCGUGCCUAACACAUGCAAGUCGAACGAGAAAGUGGAGCAAUCCAUGAGUACAGUGGCGCACGGGUGAGUAACACGUGACUAACCUACCCUCGAGUGGGGAAUAACCUCGGGAAACCGGGGCUAAUACCGCAUAACAUCUACGGAUCAAAUGCGUAAGCAGCUUGAGGAGGGGGUCGCGGCUGAUUAGCUAGUUGGCGGGGUAAUGGCCCACCAAGGCAGUGAUCAGUAGCCGGCCUGAGAGGGCGCACGGCCACACUGGAACUGAAACACGGUCCAGACUCCUACGGGAGGCAGCAGUGGGGAAUUUUGCGCAAUGGGGGAAACCCUGACGCAGCAACGCCGCGUGGAGGAUUAAGCCCCUUGGGGUGUAAACGUCCUUUCGAUCGGGACGAUUAUGACGGUACCGGAAGAAGAAGCACCGGCUAACUCUGCGCCAGCAGCCGC
rnacentral:rRNA from 1 species